rnacentral:tRNA from 1 species
GCAGUAGGGGUUCAGUGGCAGAAUUCUUGCCUUCCAUGCAGGAGACCUGGGUUUGAUUCCCGGCCAAUGCA